rnacentral:rRNA from 1 species
AUGAACGCUAGCUACAGGCUUAACACAUGCAAGUCGAGGGGCAGCAUGAGGUCAGCUUGCUGACUUUGAUGGCGACCGGCGCACGGGUGAGUAACGCGUAUCCAACCUGCCCAUAACUAAGGGAUAAUCCGUAGAAAUGCGGUCUAAUACCUUAUGUUGUCCGAGGAAGACAUCUGAUUCGGACGAAAGAUUUAUCGGUUAUGGAUGGGGAUGCGUCUGAUUAGCUUGUUGGCGGGGUAACGGCCCACCAAGGCGACGAUCAGUAGGGGUUCUGAGAGGAAGGUCCCCCACAUUGGAACUGAGACACGGUCCAAACUCCUACGGGAGGCAGCAGUGAGGAAUAUUGGUCAAUGGACGAGAGUCUGAACCAGCCAAGUAGCGUGCAGGAUGACGGCCCUAUGGGUUGUAAACUGCUUUUAUACGGGGAUAAAAGAUGUCACGUGUGACAUUUUGCAGGUACCGUAUGAAUAAGGACCGGCUAAUUCCGUG